GAGAGUUAAGUGCUAUUUUUAAGAUUUGAGGAACAGUUGAGAAGGAAUGCUUUGGGGAUCUGAAGCAGUUUCACAAUAACAUCCCACAGAAACUUCAACCUCCCAAGUUGGCGGGACAGUGCAUUUCAUUUACCACACAUUGAAUUCCUGAAAGUCACAAUGCCAUGCUACAAUGCAAUGCAGUCUCAAUGUGCUCAGAGACCAGCCUGAAAAACAGAAGACAAUUCACAGAACACAAAGUUCCCAGUUGCAGAGGAAGUCACCUAAGAUGCCAGGGACAGACCAGUAUUAAUGAUGAAACAGAGUGUUAGCGGGGUAGGUGGUCUGGAGAUCCUGAAAAGUACAUCAACAUCAUCAUCAUCAUCACCACCAGCAUCAUCACCACCACCAUCAUCAUCAUCAUCAUCAUCAUCAUCAUCAUGAUGCCAUCAGCAGCAGCAAUAGCAGCAGUUCUAGGAAGGUAGGUGUGACUCUAAGCCUACCUUUGCUUCUGUCCUAAUCUGUUGCUUCUGUGGGCAGCCGGCUGAGGAGGCUUGUUUGACAUACACCCUACUGCUUGCCCUGGCAGCUACAUCACCAC
rnacentral:lncRNA from 1 species